UACAGAGCCCUCGAACGUUGUCCGGAUUCAUUGGGCGUAAAGCGUCCGCAGGUGGCUUUGUCAGUCAUUGGUCAAAUCCUGAGGCUUAACUUCAGGACUGCUGAUGAUACUGCAUGGCUCGAGGUUGGGAGAGGCAAGCGGAACUAUCGGUGUAGUCGUAAUAAGCGCUGAUAUCGAUAGGAACACCAAAGGCGAAGGCAGCUUGCUGGAACAUACCUGACACUCAUGGACGAAAGCGUGGGGAGCGAAAGGG
rnacentral:misc_RNA from 1 species